AAUUUAAUAAACGGCAAAGCCUAACGGUAAGCGAACCGAAGAACACACAAAAGCAGUGUUUGUCUUCUACUCUACACUGACAAAACCAAAAAAAAAAAUGCAAACCGAAGCCAUUUCUGCGUUCGUAAAAGUAAUAAAAAUGAUCGUGAUGGGAACUGUAACCCUGUUCGGCCUCACGCGCUUUCUUUCUGCCAUCGCAUGAAGAUUUUAUGGAACACGAUGCAGAAACCCUUCGGUUACAACAGCGGCCCACUAUCACACCAUCCUUCAGAUUUCCUACAAUUUUCUUUUUUUUUUUUUUUCGAGUUACAUUCCCCAAAUAGCAGUUCUACUAUAGUUCAUUACCAUAGUAAUGAAUACUAUUUCUAAAUGAACCCCGUCGUCCCGCUUUGAUUACAAUAAAUGGCCUGCAUGCUU